GCAUAUAGAUAUCCUACGCCUGUAUUAAUUACAACAUUUUGAACAACCUCUCUUUGUGUUGUUUCUCACCAUGAUGCUACCAGUACCAGACCUAAUCCUCAAGACAUUGCAAAGCUCCCGUGAGUCAGAAUUUUCAUCCUGAAUUAUGAAGUGAGACAAAUUCUACUGGACAUGCAGCUGCUUGUGGAAUCCGUAGCUGGACAGUACGUAUUUUAAAAUAAAAUAAAAAGACAGCUCCAAUGUGAAUGAAGGAAAAAGAGACAGUUCAAGAAUGGAAAAGCUUUUGAAGCCAGACAGACUGAUGGGGGG